rnacentral:sRNA from 1 species
GUCAAUCUGACAUCAGUAGCAAAAUCAAUCGGCGAAACGUAGAAUCCUUUAUCAAGAUUCAAUUUCACUGUACCCAGAUCCAUAGGUUUCUUCACAACCUGAUGAUAAUCAUGAAGCCCUAAACCAACCACAUCAACAGGAGUGUUGAACACCCACGCCCAUUUAUGCUUCAUUAGCUUCACCAAGAUCUGACUACAGGUAUUCAACAUACCGGCCAAUAAUUUCUCCGACUCCGGAUCCGACGGACCAAAUUGAUUGCUUCGCUUGAGACCUGACACAUUUUUCUUCUGUUUCUUCUUCUUCGGUCCAAGGUCAUUCUUUUCACCGGUGAAGUUAUUCAACGGAGCUGAUCGAACGGCGGGUACCUCUGGG